GGUUCUAUAAGAAAAGCACUUACUAAGUUAGCGACUAACAGAACAACCAGUUUAAAGAUGAAUUAAAUGCCCAAUUUGGGGAGGCAUGGCAGGUGUAAGAGAAAGGAAAAGCUUAAGAAAACAUUUCCUGAUAAUACCAACCUUUCUUUCAUCAUCUACUGCAUUUGACAGAAAUUAACCUUUUAGAGUUUUUACCCGUGACACUUUCAUUCCUUGUACAAUGUAGUGUAAAUCUCCACUUCGUAUUUUGUCAAAAUACUGUCUUUGUCCUUUGAUCACACACACCCCACC
rnacentral:lncRNA from 1 species